AAUGGACAUGCUGAACCAGAAGAUAAAUCAUCGGAUCCUCUUCCAGGAAGUAUUGUUAAUCCACAUCGACAGUUGCUGAUGGUCGUAAGUAAUAUUGGAUAUUUCAAAGAUGAACUUGCUCAUGAAUUGUACAGCAAGUACAGACGAACUUGGCAGCAGUCGAGGGGCAAGGAUGAAGAGGACGCUGAUAUGCAAGAUCUCAUUGCAUCUUUCUCUGGGUUUGAAGAGAAUGUUCUUGAGCAGUAUACUUUGGCAAAGAGAAAUUUGUUCAGAACAGCUGCUGUAAACUAUUUGUUGGAGAGUGGUGUACAAUGGGGUGCUGCACCAGCA
rnacentral:misc_RNA from 1 species